GACAGAGGAUGCAAGCGUUAUCCGGAAUGAUUGGGCGUAAAGCGUCUGUAGGUGGCUUUUCAAGUCCGCCGUCAAAUCCCAGGGCUCAACCCUGGUACGCACUGGAAACUGGGCAACUGGAGUGCAGAAGAGGAGAGUGGAAUUCCACGUGUAGCGGUGAAAUGCGUAGAGAUGUGGAGGAACACCAGUGGCGAAGGCGACUCUCUGGUCUGUAACUGACGCUGAGGAGCGAAAGUGUGGGGAGCGAACAGG
rnacentral:rRNA from 1 species